rnacentral:rRNA from 1 species
GAUGAACGCUGGCGGCGUGCUUAACACAUGCAAGUCGAACGAAGCAUUCCAUUUGAAAGUGAACCAGCUUGCUGGGGAACAAUCUCCCGGAAUGACUUAGUGGCGGACGGGUGAGUAACGCGUGGGUAACCUGCCUUAUACAGGGGGAUAACAGUUAGAAAUGACUGCUAAUACCGCAUAACCCGAUAGUAUCGUAUGGUACAGUCGGAAAAGAUUUUAUCGGUAUAGGAUGGACCCGCGUCUGAUUAGCUAGUUGGUGGGGUAACGGCCCACCAAGGCGACGAUCAGUAGCCGACUUGAGAGAGUGAUCGGCCACAUUGGGACUGAGACACGGCCCAAACUCCUACGGGAGGCAGCAGUGGGGAAUAUUGCACAAUGGGCGCAAGCCUGAUGCAGCGACGCCGCGUGAGCGAUGAAGUAUUUCGGUAUGUAAAGCUCUAUCAGCAGGGAAGAUAAUGACGGUACCUGACUAAGAAGCACCGGCUAAAUACGUGCCAGCCGCCGCGGUAAUAC